rnacentral:rRNA from 1 species
ACGUAGGGGACAAGCGUUAUUCGGAAUUACUGGGCUUAAAGGGUACGUAGGCGGCGCGUUAAGCCUGCCGUGAAAGUCAGCGGCUCAACCGGUGGAAUGCCGUGGGGACUGGGGCUCUUGGAUACUGUAGGGGAGGGUGGAACUCGUGGUGUAGCGGUGAAAUGCAUAGAUAUCACGAGGAACGCCGGUAGCGAAGGCAGCUCGCCGGGCAGGUAUUGACGCUGAGGCGCGAAAGCGUGGGGAUCGAUCAG